rnacentral:tRNA from 1 species
GGGGUUGUGGCUUAGUGGUAGGGUGCUUGCCUAGCACGCAUGAGGCACUGGGUUCGAUCCUCAGUACCA